UACGGAGGAUCCGAGCGUUAUCCGGAUUUAUUGGGUUUAAAGGGAGCGUAGGCGGAUUGUUAAGUCAGUUGUGAAAGUUUGCGGCUCAACCGUAAAAUUGCAGUUGAUACUGGCAGUCUUGAGUGCAGUAGAGGUGGGCGGAAUUCGUGGUGUAGCGGUGAAAUGCGUAGAUAUUUGGAAGAACACCGAUGGCGAAGGCAGCCCCCUGGGACGCAACUGACACUGAUGCUCGAAAGUGUGGGUAUCAA
rnacentral:rRNA from 1 species